ensembl:lncRNA
CUUAUUAUCCUUAAUUGGGGUUUAUUCAUCUGAAAUAGUAUCUCAUUUCUUUUGCAGGAAAAUGUUCCUUAUCCUUACAAAUUACUUUUAGUAAUUAUUCAAAAAGCCAUCCUGAUUAGAAAUGGCUUCCAGGAAUAUUUCCAUCACAUGUUCUGCCGGUUCACCUGACAACAUUGACAAGUGCAGGAUCAGCAACUCUCAUAUCCAGCACCAGAGGUAUGAGGAUGUGAGAAGAAAAAAAGGACGGAAAUGUGUAGAACCAGAAGCUAGUCUGUGUAAGUCUCCAAACAUCAGAUGG